ACGGAGGAUCCAAGCGUUAUCCGGAUUUACUGGGUUUAAAGGGUGCGUAGGCGGAAUAAUAAGUCAGUGGUGAAAUCCUUUAGCUUAACUAAAGAACUGCCAUUGAUACUGUUAAUCUAGAGUAUAUUUGAAGUGGGCGGAAUGUGUCAUGUAGCGGUGAAAUGCUUAGAUAUGACACUGAACACCGAUUGCGAAGGCAGCUCACUAAACUAUAACUGACGCUGAGGCACGAAAGCGUGGGGAGCAAACA
rnacentral:rRNA from 1 species